UUAACACAACUACCACCACAAGCAAAGAGAGGUUUGGGCUCAAGAGAAAAACAGGGACAAGUCUUGUGUAUUUGAUCAACAAAGAGGUAAGGGUUAGAAUAGUUAGAUAUUGAUUUUAGCUGUAUUUGGUGAAUAAAUGACAGAAACCUUUUCAUUGAGUAUGCUUAUUCUCAAAUAAGUUAGGCUACAUAAUAUAUUUAUUGACCAGUCAGCUGCUUGAUUCUUGGAUCUGUAUGUGAAUGAUUGUUGCUUUCUUAAUCAGCAGUUUACUUUGUAGUGGUAAAUGGUAAUGUUCUAAUAAACAAAAAUCAAGUACUAAUGGGGACUAUUAUUCAUUUGUCUAGAGUAGUUUACUGAUUUCAUGUUAAUUAUUUUUGUU